rnacentral:rRNA from 1 species
AUGGCUAAGUUGAAGAAGCAAGUCAAGCGCACCAAAGAAAUUCUGAGCGCAUAUACCCCUCCUCCAAUCUCAGUUGAAUCUCUAUAUAAUGAUAUCGAUUUCAGGAGCACCAUAACACGUGAACAAUUUGAAGAGCUUUGUGCAGAUUUAUGGGAGCAGGCUCUGUCUCCAAUCAAAGAUGUGCUUACGCAAUCAGGCAUGAAAAUUGGUGACGUAUAUGCUGUAGAGCUAAUUGGUGGAGCUACCAGGGUACCGAAACUGCAGGCUAAGCUGCAGGAAUUCCUGGGAUGGAGUGAGCUAGAUAAGCACCUUGAUGUUGAUGAAGCAAUUGUUCUUGGCGCCUCACUACAUGCUGCUAAUCUAAGUGAUGGGAUUAAGUUGAGCUGCAAGUUGGGGAUGAUUGACGGUUCUACUUAUGGUUUCGUGUUUGAAAUAGAUGGCCCAGAUUAUGUCAAAGAUGAAAGUACUGAUCAAGUACUGGUUCCAAGGAUGAAAAAGAUGCCAAUGAAGGGAUGGGUUAGGGUUUGCUGUUGGAUCCAACAUUUUUUUGUUGAUGGUUGUCGUCUGCUCAUGCUCUUGACUGUCGGACUGCUGGGAUCUGUCGUUGUUGUGGUUGUCUCGAUAGUUAUGAUUUUUGUCUACAGUCCUAUUACAGUAAUGCAGAAAAUUCCUGCUCCCCGGGAGGUGAUUACUGUCGAUUGUGCUUGUAUUUUGGCUAUGACAACCACCAUCAACUUUCGGGUAUAG